GACGUAUUGGGCGCUGUAGCAGCGAGGUUUCUGGGAGUCGUAGGCUGUGGUAGUUUCCUGUGUUUAAUGGCUUCCCGUUAUAAGGUGCCUUUUACAAAAAAGUAUUGUUUUCUUAUAUAUUUGACUGGCAUUCUUUGUAACAUCCUAAGCUGAAAGACUACAGUGAUAUAGAAUCAAGAUGGUGCUACUGAACUGGAAGGCACUGGAAAAUUUUCCACUACUAAUCUUCAUUUUAGCUGCUAAAACAUUAAUUCUUUGCUUAGCAUUUGCUGGAGUAAAAGUGUAUCAGAGGAAAAGACUGGAAGAGAAGCUGAAAAAAGAACAAAUGGAAAAGCAAAAAAGAGAAAUGGAGAAAAAAGAAAACUGAAGAAUCUAAAGGAAGUCGUCCUCCUGUUUCUUGGAAAUUUAUUUUGAAAGAGAUGGUCCAUGUAGUUUUCCCGCUGCCUGAGAACAAUAUUGCUGAGCAUCAUAGAGAAAAGGAGAAAGCCAAAAAACCCAAUAAUAAUCAGGAUGUAUAGAGAAGCCGAAAUUUCUUCCUGCUGCACAAGAGAUGGGAAUGUAAGUGCCCAGAGUCUAUGAUUUAAGUGGCGUCUAAAGUCGGAUAAACAAACCAACAAAUAAAUGCUGUAGGAGAAGUGAGGAUGGAAAGAACAUUUAAAUGAGCAUUUAGGAAGGGCACAAAGUUCAAGUAGCAAGUGAUAGCAGGGGAAAAGAAGGGGUGCUGGCGAUCCAACGGCAGAGAGACUUGGCCUGCAUGAGCCUGGCAUGUGCCUUGCUGAAAUAGGAGCUUCUGAGCUGUCUUGGAGCACUGCUCUUGUUCCACAUUUGAUAGGAGGCCUCUUGUCUCAAUGACUGGCUUAUUCAAAGCAGAGCAUGUUAUUUUCAAAAAGUGUUUCAGUGCUCCAAUCAAGGACCUCUCUUAUCCAGAAUAAGAUUUUAUUUUCAAAUACUGUUUAAAUGCUUAAGUGCUUGCUUACCCAAAGAAAUAUUUUAUUAUCAGAAACUAAGUGCUCAAAAGCUGUUGCUUAUCAAAAACUAUACUUUAUUUUCAGAUUCUUAUUAUCCCGCUAGCCACUGUAGUGUAGGGGUUAGGGUGGUGACUAGGAGUGGAGAGAUCCAGGUUCUGGUCCACCCUGAACCACAGAAGCUCACUUCUGAAAGAAUGUCUAACUAAUUUUGAGAAAAGGGAAGGGAUGAGCAAGCUGCUAAGGAGGCACUGUGUGAAAAGAUUACUCAGCUCUGAGAAAAGGAGUACGGGGAAAAAACUCAAAAGAACUAUGCCUUGAUUUUGUUUAGGAUAAGAUGGAACAGAGAGAAACUUGCACAGCUUUCAAGAUUCUGUUAUCCUCCAUAAUACAGUAAAGAGCAUUCCAGGAAUCUCUGCAGUGCUUUUUUCUAGACAGUGCCUCACUUGUAGGGCUGGUGCUAGAAAGCUUUGGGCCAGUCACAGUCUCUCAGCUGGGGAAAAAUAAAAGGAAGGAGCAGUAUGUACACCGUCUUGUGCUUGUGAAUAAAAAGUGGGAGGGAGGGAGGGCGGUAGAUCCAAGCAAAAGCAUUAGGGAACUACACACAUGUCCCCAGGAAAUCCCCAGAGGGCCCAGGGUUUUCAAAACCAUAUCACCCACCUGAAAAAACACAAACAAAACAAAUGAACAAAUCAAAACCACCACCCCUUCUAUCCUUUGUGAAAUAUGUGCUUCUGAUUUCUCACCUUGCCAUAAUGGGAUGUAUGAUAUAAAGGGCAUUGGACAAUAUG